UACGGGGGGGGCAAGCGUUGUUCGGAAUUACUGGGCGUAAAGGGCUCGUAGGCGGCCAACUAAGUCGGACGUGAAAUCCCCAGGCUUAACUUGGGAACUGCGUCCGAUACUGGAUGGCUUGAAUCCGGGAGAGGGAUGCGGAAUUCCAGGUGUAGCGGUGAAAUGCGUAGAUAUCUGGAGGAACACCGGUGGCGAAGGCGGCAUCCUGGACCGGUAUUGACGCUGAGUGAGCGAAAGCCAGGGGAGCAAACGGGG
rnacentral:rRNA from 1 species